UAAAUUUUCUUUUAAUUUUUACCCGGCAACCCAAUUCCUAUAUUGCGAUGAAAUCAUGUCCAAUUGUAACCAAUUCGAAUAACAUACGAGCAGAUAACUAAACAAGAAAAUUCGAAACUACGGAGAACAAUUACACAAAUAGCAGAAUCAUAUCACGAAAUAAACAUUUAACAUUAAUCUUGAAUAAACGGAUAGAGGAUGAGAGAAUUAGACCUCAAUACCGCCGGAAAAUUGAUUAUUCACGAUUUUGAACUUGAGAUGCAACGAACCGCGGACGAAACUCGAAUCAAUACCGAAAAGCGAAUAAUCAGACUGAGACUCAAAUCGGUACCAGAAACUCAACCAAACAAGGAUUUGGACCCAAAUUUUAAUCAAAGUCUACCCCUGAACAAAAUCAGAAUCGAAAGGUGAACAAUCAGAAAUGUGUAUCUUUGUAUUUAUUGAUUUUGAAUUUCCUAGAAAAAGGAUCUGCAAAAAAUGGAUUUCAUUCCUCCAUCACACUGCUUUCUUUCUUGCUAAGAAUGAAAUCGGAAAGUAAAACAAAGUCAAACUCAAAAGCCAAAAUCCCGUCUUCUUUCAUCACUUUUUCGUCCAGAUUUUUGUUCUUGUGAUUUUCCCCGCUUACCUCUUAUGUUCUUCUGUGUUGUGUGUAGCUAGUUGGUCGGCGAGCAGCUGAAGUUUAUGGUCAUUUAGGAUGGGGUUCGUCCGGUUUCAGGCGGAGAUGAAACUGUGCGUGUGUGUGAGUGCCGGCUGUGGCUGCUGGAUUUUUUGAGAAAGGGUAGUCGUUGAGCUGAAAUGAGGCAGCAGGUGGUGGCUGGUCGUUUGUGAGAGUGAGGCGUUAGGGUGUUGUUGUUGGUAUUAGUCAGUGUGGUCGUGUAUACUGGAGACGGUGGAACAUGGUGGUCGUUCGGGCUGGGUUCGACGGAUGGUGGUGGCUAUGGAGUUGUUUUUGAGUGUUCUGCCCGGCGUAGUUCAGGGAGGUCGACGGACAACUGGUCGUUGGUCGUUUGGUGGUGGACGAGCGGGGGGUCUGCUUGGGGGGUGGCGGCUUGGAGAAGAAGAUGGCUUGGGGUCCUUAGGGUUUUCUCUUUCCCGUUUUUUGUGUGUCUCCGUGAAGAAGAAGAAGAAGGAACAUU
rnacentral:lncRNA from 1 species